rnacentral:rRNA from 1 species
GUGGAUUAGAUACCCGGGUAGUCCACGCCCUAAACGAUGUCGACUGGUUGUUGGGGGUUUGACACUCUCAGUAACGAAGCUAACGCGUGAAGUCGACCGCCUGGGGAGUACGGCCGCAAGGUUAAAACUCAAAGGAAUUGACGGGGACCCGCACAAGCGGUGGAUUAUGUGGAUUAAUUCGAUGCAACGCGAAAAACCUUACCUACCCUUGACAUGUCCGAGAGCCGGCUGAGAGGCUGGUGUGCCCGAAAGGGAAUCGGAACACAGGUGCUGCAUGGCCGUCGCCAACU